CCUACGGGUGGCAGCAGUGAGGAAUAUUGGUCAAUGGACGAGAGUCUGAACCAGCCAAGUAGCGUGAAGGAUGACUGCCCUAUGGGUUGUAAACUUCUUUUAUAUGGGAAUAAAAUGUUCCACGUGUGGGAUUUUGUAUGUACCAUAUGAAUAAGGAUCGGCUAACUCCGUGCCAGCAGCCGCGGUAAUACGGAGGAUCCGAGCGUUAUCCGGAUUUAUUGGGUUUAAAGGGAGCGUAGGUGGAUUUUUAAGUCAGUUGUGAAAGUUUGCGGCUCAACCGUAAAAUUGCAGUUGAAACUGGCAGUCUUGAGUACAGUAGAGGUGGGCGGAAUUCGUGGUGUAGCGGUGAAAUGCUUAGAUAUCACGAAGAACUCCGAUUGCGAAGGCAGUUCACUGGACUGCAACUGACGCUGAGGCUCGAAAGUGUGGGUAUCAAACAGGAUUAGAUACCCUUGUAGUC
rnacentral:rRNA from 1 species